UACGGAGGGUGCAAGCGUUAUCCGGAUUUACUGGGUUUAAAGGGUGUGUAGGCGGGCUUUUAAGUCAGUGGUGAAAUCUCCGGGCUCAACCUGGAAACUGCCAUUGAUACUAUUAGUCUUGAAUUUUGUUGAGGUAGGCGGAAUAAGUCAUGUAGCGGUGAAAUGCAUAGAUAUGACUUAGAACACCGAUUGCGAAGGCAGCCCACUACGCAACUAUUGACGCUGAGGCACGAAAGCGUGGGGAUCAAACAGG
rnacentral:rRNA from 1 species